CGCCCAGACUCCUACGGGAGGCAGCAGUGGGGAAUAUUGGGCAAUGGAGGAAGCUCUUACCCAGCGACGCCGCGUGAGUGAAGAAGUAUUUCGGUAUGUAAAGCUCUAUCAGCAGGGAAGAAAGAAAUGACGGUACCUGACUAAGAAGCCCCGGCUAACUACGUGCCAGCAGCCGCGGUAAUACGUAGGGGGCAAGCGUUAUCCGGAUUUACUGGGUGUAAAGGGAGCGUAGACGGCGGCGCAAGCCAGAUGUGAAAGCCCGGGGCUCAACUCCGGGACUGCAUUUGGAACUGUGUGGCUGGAGUGUCGGAGAGGCAGGCGGAAUUCCUAGUGUAGCGGUGAAAUGCGUAGAUAUUAGGAGGAACACCAGUGGCGAAGGCGGCCUGCUGGACGAUGACUGACGUUGAGGCUCGAAAGCGUGGGGAGCAAACAGGAUUAGAUACCCCGGUAGC
rnacentral:rRNA from 1 species